rnacentral:rRNA from 1 species
CGGGGAAUCUUGCGCAAUGGGCGAGAGCCUGACGCAGCCAUGCCGCGUGAAUGAUGAAGGUCUUAGGGUUGUAAAAUUCUUUUACCAGGGACGAUAAUGACGGUACCUGGAGAAAAAGCCCCGGCUAACUUCGUGCCAGCAGCCGCGGUAAUACGAAGGGGGCUAGCGUUGCUCGGAAUUACUGGGCGUAAAGGGAGCGUAGGCGGGUUGACAAGUUGGAGGUGAAAGCCCAGGGCUCAACCCUGGAAUUGCCUUCAAAACUGUCAGCCUUGAGUAUGGAAGAGGUAAGUGGAACUCCGAGUGUAGAGGUGAAAUUCGUAGAUAUUCGGAAGAACACCAGUGGCGAAGGCGACUUACUGGUCCAUGACUGACGCUGAGGCUCGAAAGCGUGGGGAGCAAACAG